CGCGUAGGUGGUUACUUAAAUUAGAUGUGAAAUGUCUGGGCUUAACCUGGAUUAGUCAUUUAAUACUGAGUAGCUAGAGUACAGUAGAGGAUAGUGGAAUUUCCAGUGUAGCGGUGAAAUGCGUAGAUAUUGGAAGGAACACCAGUGGCGAAGGCGGCUAUCUGGACUGAUACUGACACUGAGGCGCGAAAGCGUGGGUAGCGAACAGGAUUAGAUACCCUGGUAGUCCACGCUGUAAACGAUGACAACUAGCCGUCGGGACCAAAGAGGGUUUAGGUGGCGAAGCUAACGCGAUAAGUUGUCCGCCUGGGGAGUACGGCCGCAAGGUUAAA
rnacentral:rRNA from 1 species